UUCACGCCAUGAAUACAGUCGAAUACAAUAAUCUGCCUAGUUGUAAUCUCAUAUUUCAUGUCAUGAAUACAGUCGAAUACACUCGAAUACAACAACUGAAUAGCUGGACUUCCGAAUACAGUAGCUUAAAUACAUCUAAUACAUCUUAUAACAACAGAAAACGUACAAUUCGUAAUAUAGCAGAUGAUAUCUAUAUAUAGCUAAUUAACUAAAAUAUAGUGUUUUAUCACUCUAGAAACCAAGCCCGACCCAAAUACAACCUAGUAAAAUGUCCACCGCCGGAAGCCGCCACCUCCUCCGCUUACGCCUCUCCUGCCGUAAAAUCACGGCACAAGUGACAACAACCACCACCGACACAAUCGUGGCAAUGGCUUCAUCAUCGGAGCAAGAGUUUGCGGCGCAGUGUAAAGCCAGGCUGAACCGAGUGCCUAGGUUUCGCAAUUUGUGGGACGCGAAGAUCUCUUCUAGAGUCGGAGAGAAGCUCGGUGAUCGGCUUAAUGAAGUUAAAGUCUAUAACGUGGAGAUUGAUGUUGAAGAAGAGGUGAAUCGGCCUGUUCAUUAUCGCAAAAUGGUGGCGCCGCUUUUUGAGUCCGUUAAGGGCAAGGGUAUUGCUGUAGUUGGAGCUGACAAAUUGGGCUUCUUCUAGUUAUUAUUGUCAAUUUUGUGCUUCCUCUCUAGCAAGGCUUGCUCCCCUUCAAGCAGUACUAUUUGACAUUGAUGGAACUUUAUGUGAUUCUGAUCCAUUUCAUUAUCUUGCAUUCUGUGAAAUGCUUCUGGAGAUAGGCUACAAUGGGGGUGUGCCAGUUGAUGAGGAGUGGUUUGUCAAGACUAUUUCUGGGAAACACAAUGACGAUCUUGUCUCUGUCUUUUUCCCUAAUGAUCAUGAAAGGGGUGUAAAAUUCUUAGAUGACAAGGAAGCUUUGUUUAGAAGGUUGGCAAAAGAACAA